rnacentral:rRNA from 1 species
UGCAUCGAUGAAGAACGCAGCAAACUGCGAUAAGUAAUGUGAAUUGCAGAAUUUAGUGAAUCAUCGAAUCUUUGAACGCAAAUGGCGCUCUUGGGCAUUCCCAGGAGCACGUCUGUCUGAGCGUCGUUUCUCACAUCCAGCUCAUCGAGCUGGGCCAUGAGGUGUCCCUUUGCUGCGAAGCGAACGGUCCCUUGAAGUAGAGCGAUCCCGAGUCGUGCGGAAGCCCUUCGUGGCCCGUCCUUCUCGGUGUGGUAGCGAUAUCUCACCGAGAGAGCGUGGCUUCGAAGGUGUCGGAUGCCUUCUCUUACGGAACGACCGGAAAGGAAUCAAAGUAACCUUUGAUUGACCAACCAAGACCUCAGAUCAGGCGAGACUACCCGCUGAACUUAAGCAUAUCAAUAAGCGGAGGA